UAAAUUCAGGGGCGGCUGCCUAACCAUGCAGUCGAACGAGGGCUUCGGCCCUAGUGGCGCACGGGUGAGUAACACGUGGGAACCUGCCUUUCGGUUCGGGAUAACGUCUGGAAACGGACGCUAACACCGGAUACGUCCUUCGGGAGAAAGUUGACGCCAAUAGACGGGCACACAUCCGAUUACGUACUAGGUGGGAUAAGGGGCCACCAUGCCCACCAUCGCUAACUAGUCUGAGAUGAUGAUCAACCACGAUGGGACUGACAGACAGUGCAAACUCCUACAGAAUGCAACAGUGGGGAAUAUUGGACAAUGUGGGCCACCGUGAUCCACCAUUGCCGCGUGAUGGAUGAAGGCCGUAGGGUUGCAAAGCUCUGUCACACUCUAUCAUGAUCACCGAUGAUUACGAAGAAGCCCCAGCUAACUUCGUGCCACUUCCCGCGGUAAUACGAAGGGGGCCAACGGUGUUCAGAGUUACUGGGCGUUACGGGCGCGUAAGCGGCCUGAUUAGUCCUAAUUGAACGCACCGGACUUAACCUGGCAACGGCUUUUAAUACUGUCAGGCUUGAGUUCCCGAGAGGAUGGUAGAAUUCGCAGUGAAUACGUGAGAUUCGUAGAUAUUGGGAAAAACAGCGAUGAACAACGCUGCCAUCUGCACGCAUCCUGACGCACACGCACGAUAACGUGCGGAGCAAACAGGAUUAAAUACCAUGAUAUACCAUGCCAUACACGAUGAAUGCUAAACACUGCUAUACAUGCACUUCCAUGUCCUUGCUAGCCCAUUCUGCAUUCCUCCUGAUGAGUACUGCCGCAUAGUUACGACUCGUAGGAAUUGACAGGAGCCCACACAAGCGCUGGAAACAUGUGGGUAUAAUUCGAAUCAACUCGCAGAACCUUACCAACCCUUGACAUGUCCUCUACCGGUCUCCUAAAGAUCUCGAUUAUAACUUCCGUUUGAGUUGCAACUCAGGUGCAUCCAUGGUUGCUCCAUCGGCUCGUGGUCAGGAUCAUGUUGGGGAUUAAGUUCCCGCUAACGAGCCGCAACCCAUACCCACCGCUUGCCCA
rnacentral:rRNA from 1 species